rnacentral:lncRNA from 1 species
AAUGAAUAUCGUUAAAUAUGUUAAUUGCUGACUUAAUAAUAAAGCAAGUUAUCACUGAAAAAAAUGCAAAGAAAUCGAUCGUAGUCACGGAAUGAUCACGUCAUUGAAAACUUGAAGCAUUGAACAUUGUUAUUUCAUUGAUAAAAUUCAAAUUGCAAUCUGACAAAUAAAUUUUAUUCACUUAUUGAUAUGAUCAUUAAAAUAUAUUUAUAAAAAUUUUUCCAAUAACGAGGAAUCAUCCAAUAACAAGGCUCAUCAAAUCAUAGAAAUCCAUCUUAAGAAUAUCUAACCCUGGGAUAACGAGAAUCUCUUAUUCGUGACAAAAUAGUUAAAAAUAUGAAAUACAUUUCGUACAACCUUCGUUUCGAACAUCUAAUUAUAAGAUCUAAAAGUAGACGGCCAAAAGUAGACACUAAUAAAUUUCUCUCAGAAUUUCUUACACUAUACGAACCAUGCCAAAUCUGAAAGAUCUGAGUACGCAAUUGCCGAGUUAAUUACAAUCGUAAUAGUAACUUUCCAAACGCCAAAAAGAAACCAUCCCCCCAACCAUAAAAACUUUAAAUAUACCCAUUCGGUGAUCAUGAAACGGCCAUUGAAUUACCGGCAUAAAAUCGAUCUUACGAAACGAGACCAUAACUCGACGAGCACGAAAGAAAAUUAUUCGAACGAUCGAGGCAACAAAGGGAAGCCGACGCAAGCGUGCAAACGCGAAACUCUUCGUGCCAAUAACGACGAUAUUCCAGGCGAUCGUUUCAAACUCUGUGAAACUACUCUUUCACCAAGGAGGGACAGAGAUAGAGGGAAAGAGAGAAAGAAAGAGAGACAGAGAGAGAGAGAGAGAGAGAGAGGAAGGACGGAGGGGGACGGUGGCGUUCACGGGUGAGAGAUAGCCGGUGCGAGUUAAACGCGUGUCUGACCCUCUUUGUGCGUGCAACGGCCGGUGCAAUAGGAGUUAAUCGAAAAAAGUAGGCAAGACAGAGAUGGGAGGCAAUUGAGAAUCGGCGACGUCGAGACGCUUGCAAUUAGCCGGCGCUCGCUCUAUCUAGCCGCUAAUUUCGUCUGACGCCAUAGAACAUAGAGGCUGAGGAGAUGUUUCGAGAUGGAAUUCUCGAAAAAUUACUUAUAGGAAUAGGAGAUUCUCCGCCGGUUGUUUGAACGAGAACGAUCGGUUUUUGCCAGUUAACCGGUUUAGAAUGGAGGCACGAUGCGAGGUGGUGGUCCGUGUCACUACUAGUCGACAGCACGAUCGUGAUCGAUUGGAGAGAAAUGUUGGAUGGAGAAAAGACAUGGAUGAUUCGAGGAAUGCCGGCUCGUUCAUUCAUCUCGCGUCACAUACAUGGUGACUUUGAAACUUUGUGAAUUAUAGUAAGACAAUUAUCGAGAUCAAGAUGUUUCGGAUGUUGGUAUCUUGUCUUUUUUUUAUUUUCAGUGAGUAAGAUGUGUUUUAUAUAUGCUAUAGUGAUUUCAAGAGUUAGUUGAAGAGAGGAUAUAGAGAUAUUUAUGCUUCUGGCAUAAAUUUAUUACAUACAAGAGUACGUCAAGAGUAGGUUACAUUGAGGUCAGUAGUGCUCCACUUGAGGCGGUUCUCUAAUCGGGAUGAUUUAUCUCUGAAGGAAAUAAAUUAAUAAUAUUUAGUAACAAUAUGUUGCGCCAUUAAAUUACAGGUUUUAUUUGGU